CCUACGUGUGGCAGCAGUGGGGAAUAUUGCGCAAUGGGCGAAAGCCUGACGCAGCGACGCCGCGUGAGGGAUGAAGGUCUUCGGAUCGUAAACCUCUGUCAGCAGGGAAGAACGGUCACUGUGCUAGUCAGCAGUGAAUUGACGGUACCUGCAAAGGAAGCACCGGCUAACUCCGUGCCAGCAGCCGCGGUAAUACGGAGGGUGCGGGCGUUAAUCGGAAUUACUGGGCGUAAAGCGCUCGUAGGCGGUAUGUCAAGUCAAGGGUGAAAUCCCCGCGCUUAACGUGGGAACUGCCUUUGAAACUGGCAAACUGGAGUGUGUGAGAGGAUAGUGGAAUUCCAGGUGUAGGAGUGAAAUCCGUAGAGAUCUGGAGGAACAUCAGUGGCGAAGGCGACUAUCUGGCACAUAACUGACGCUGAGGAGCGAAAGCGUGGGUAGCAAACAGGAUUAGAUACCCCAGUAGUC
rnacentral:rRNA from 1 species